GCCCCGUGGUGUAGUGGUAGCACACGCUCAGGACGACUCGCUCGCCUUUGUGCGACUAAGGUCAGUAGCUUGAGCCAGAAUGGCAGGUCCCAGGUUCGAUUCCGGGCAGUGGCA